rnacentral:rRNA from 1 species
GACGAACGCUGGCGGCGUGCCUAACACAUGCAAGUCGAACGGGGCAGAGAGCUUCGGUUUUCUGCUUAGUGGCGAACGGGUGAGUAACGCGUGAGGAACCUGCCUUUCAGUGGGGGACAACAGUUGGAAACGACUGCUAAUACCGCAUGACACUUCUGGGUGGCAUCACCUAGAAGUCAAAGCUUUAUGUGCUGAAAGAUGGCCUCGCGUCUGAUUAGCUAGUUGGUGGGGUAACGGCCCACCAAGGCGACGAUCAGUAGCCGGUCUGAGAGGAUGAACGGCCACAUUGGGACUGAGAUACGGCCCAGACUCCUACGGGGGGCAGCAGGUGGGGAAUAGUUGGGCGAAUGGGGGAAACCCUGACCCAGCAACGCCGCGUGAGGGAAGAAGG